AUAAAAAGGGGAAGUUGAGGUGCAGAGAACGAAAAAUUUGUUAGUAAUACAAGAAGACUUCGAUCGCUUCUAACAAAAUUCUUUAAAUUUUUUAAUUGAAUAAAUAAAUUCAAAGAUGUCCAAGUUUAUUAUUUUAAUGCUGGUGUCUAUGUUGGUCGUAAAUAUUUGGGCUGAUGAAGAGUGUAUAGAACUGGGAAGAGAUUGUGAAGAAGAUGAGCAAUGUUGCAAAAAGCAGUGCAAAGAGUUCGAAGGGAAAAAGCUGUGUCACCCAUCGAAAGAAGAAAUGGAAGAAAUGAUGGAACACGCCCGUAAGAUGGGUUAUAAUUGAGCUACACCGUUAAAAAUUAUUUAUUUAUGUCAAACGGUAAUUAAUUAAAAAUUAUACGAUGUGUAAUUAAUAAUUUAUAAUUCGUUUAAUGAUUAAAUAAAUAAUUAGUUGUCAUUAACCU